rnacentral:rRNA from 1 species
UACGUAGGGGGCGAGCGUUGUCCGGAUUUACUGGGCGUAAAGCGCUUGUAGGUGGCCACGCCAAGUCGGAUGUGAAAUCUCCCGGCUUAACUGGGAGCGGUCAUUCGAUACUGGCGGGCUCGAGGCAGGUAGGGGGAAGCGGAAUUCCCGGUGUAGUGGUGGAAUGCGUAGAUAUCUGGAAGAACACCGGUGGCGCAAGCGGCUUGCUGGGCUGUAACUGACGCUGAGGAACGAAAGCUAGGGUAGCGAAUGGG